rnacentral:rRNA from 1 species
AGAAUCAACGCUGGCGGCGUGCCUAACACAUGCAAGUCGAACGAGAAAGUGGAGCAAUCCAUGAGUACAGUGGCGCACGGGUGAGUAACACGUGACUAACCUACCCUUGAGUGGGGAAUAACCUGGAGAAAUCUAGGCUAAUACCGCAUAACACCUACGGGUCAAAGGAGCAAUUCGCUUAAGGAGGGGGUCGCGGCAGAUUAGCUAGUUGGCGGGGUAAUGGCCCACCAAGGCAGUGAUCUGUAUCCGGCCUGAGAGGGCGCACGGACACACUGGAACUGAAACACGGUCCAGACUCCUACGGGAGGCAGCAGUGGGAAUUUUGCGCAAUGGGGAAACCCUGACGCAGCAACGCCGCGUGGAGGAUGAAGUCCCUUGGGACGUAAACUCCUUCGACCGGGAAGAUAAUGACGGUACCGGAAGAAGAAGCCCGGCUAACGUUCGCGCCAGCAGCCGC